CACGUGCUACAAUGGCGCAUACAGAGUGCUGCGAACCUGCGAGGGUAAGCGAAUCACUUAAAGUGCGUCGUAGUCCGGAUUGGAGUCUGCAACUCGACUCCAUGAAGUCGGAAUCGCUAGUAAUCGCGUAUCAGAAUGACGCGGUGAAUACGUUCCCGGGCCUUGUACACACCGCCCGUCACACCAUGGGAGUGGGUUGCUCCAGAAGUGGAUAGUCUAACCUUCGGGAGGACGUUCACCACGGAGUGAUUCAUGACUGGGGUGAAG
rnacentral:rRNA from 1 species